GGCAACAUGGCCGAGUGGUUAAGGCGCUAGAAUCAGGUCAGUCGAUCAUUAUGUUAUCUAGUCCGAAAGGGCGUGGGUUCGAGUCCCACUGUUGUCA